UACGGAGGGUGCAAGCAUUAAUCGGAUUUAUUGGGCGUAAAGGGCGCGUAGGCGGAGUGAAAAGUCAGAUGUGAAAUCCCGGGGCUCAACCUCGGAACAGCAUUUGAAACUGUCACCCUAGAGGGUAGGCGGAGAAAACGGAAUUCCACAAGUAGCGGUAAAAUGCGUAGAUAUGUGGAAGAACACCGGUGGCGAAGGCGGGUCUCUGGGCAACAACUGGACGCUGAGGAGCGAAAGCGUGGGGAGCGAACAGG
rnacentral:rRNA from 1 species